rnacentral:rRNA from 1 species
UGGGGAAUAUUGCGCAAUGGGCGGAAGCCUGACGCAGCGACGCCGCGUGGGGGAUGACGGCCUUCGGGUUGUAAACCCCUUUCACUAUCGACCAAGGCCUCUUUUGGGGUUGAGUGUAGGUGGGGAAGAAGCACCGGCUAACUACGUGCCAGCAGCCGCGGUAAUACGUAGGGUGCGAGCGUUGUCCGGAUUUAUUGGGCGUAAAGGGCUCGUAGGCGGCUUGUCGCGUCGGGAGUGAAAGCCCGCUGCUUAACGGCGGGUUGGCUUUCGGUACGGGCAGGCUGGAGUGCGGCAGGGGAGACUGGAAUUCCUGGUGUAGCGGUGGAAUGCGCAGAUAUCAGGAGGAACACCGGUGGCGAAGGCGGGUCUCUGGGCCGUUACUGACGCUGAGGAGCGAAAGCGUGGGGAGCGAACAGGAUUAGAUACCCUGGUAGUCCACGCUGUAAACGUUGGGCGCUAGGUGUGGGGCCUGUUUCCACGGGUUCCGUGCCGGAGCUAACGCAUUAAGCGCCCCGCCUGGGGAGUACGGCCGC